AUUUCUAAUUUAUAAAAUGUAUUUCUGUUUUCUCUCAUUUGUUCCUUAUAACAUCCCUGGGGGAUGCUGGGGAGGUGUUUCUACUGUGUUUGAAAAAAUUAGAGGCAGUACCUAAGCUGGAGCAGGGUAGAGGCGGGCCGGCACCCACUUCUGACCUCCGGUGCUGCCGGCCUCAAGAUCAGGCAUGGCCCAGAACUUGAAGGACUUGCCGGGACGGCUGCCCGCGGGGCCCCGGGGCAUGGGCACGGCAUUGAAGCUGUUGCUGGGGCCCAGCGCGGUGGCAUACGGUGUCCGCGAAUCCGUGUUCACUGUGGAAGGCGGGCAUAGAGCCAUCUUCUUCAAUCGGAUCUGUGGAGUGCAGCAGGACACUAUCCUGGCCGAGGGCCUUCACUUCAGGAUCCCCUGGUUGCAGUACCCCAUUAUCUACGACAUUCGGGCCAGACCUCGAAAAAUCUCCUCCCCUGCAGGCUCCAAAGACCUACAAAUGGUGAAUAUCUCCCUGAGAGUGCUGUCUCAACCCCAAUGCUCAAGAGCUUCCUAGCAUGUACCAGUGCCUAGGGCUGGACUACGAGGAACGAGUGCUGCCGUCCAUUGUCAACGAGGUGCUCAAGAGUGUGGUGGCCAAGUUCAAUACCUCACAGCUGAUCACCCAGCAGGCCCAGGUAUCCCUGUUGAUCCGCCGGGAGCUGACAGAGAGGGCCAAGGACUUCAGCCUCAUCCUGGAUGAUGUAGCCAUCACAGAGCUGAGCUUUAGCCAAGAGUACACAGCUGCUGUAGAAGCCAAACAAGUGGCCCAGCAGGAGGUCCAGCGGGCCCAAUUCUUGGUAGAAAAAGCGAAGCAGGAACAGCGGCAGAAGACUGUGCAGGCCGAGGGUGAGGCUGAGGCUGCCAAGAUGCUUGGAGAAGCACUGAGCAAGAACCCUGGCUACAUCAAACUUCACAAGAUCCAAGCAGCCCAGAAUAUCUCCAAGACAAUCGCCACAUCAUAGAACCGUAUUUAUCUCAUGGCUGACAACCUCAUGCUGAACCUACAGGAUGAAAGUUUCACCAGAGGAAGUGACAGCCUCAUCAAGGGUAAGAAAUGAGCCUAGUCACCAAGAACUCCAUCCCCAGAGGAAGUGGAUCUGCUUCUCCAGUUUUUGAGUAGC